GACUUCAAUUUGCCAACAUACAGCAUACAAAGGUUAACUUACGUGACGCUCAGCCGUCCUCAGUUGCACUCAACCUCCUCUUCCGCUAAAUUCAAGGAAAAUCCUCCCUCCGCCGGCCCCGAGCCGGGUGCUCAGGCUCCUGUGCUCUGCACGUGGCUGCCCGCUCGACGUGGAUGGGGUUGUCUCUGGCUCUGGAAUGGGCGGUGAGCGUUUCCGGGUGUCACUGCUUUCUCUCUGGCGACUUUCGGGAUUGUUCGACUCCUGGCAGAGUGCGUGCAAUCCUCCAGUAAAAGAGCAAACCAAGUCGUUAUUCUAAAAAAGAAUUUUAGAAAGAAGGAGCCACUCCGGUGGCUUUGGCUGAGGGAGGGGAAGAAGGACGUAGCCGUCUGCAAACCAGUGCUUGGCGCGUUCAUGUUUCCUAAAAAUAUCUCUCAUUUGCAUCUCCGAUAAGUAAAUGUUUUAUGGGAAAACCAUUUCUUAUUUCAGGAUUUUUGGAGCAGCCGAGGGCCCCGCUCUCUGCCAAGACUGCCCGUUUGUCCCGCGUUUCCUUCCAUUCUGCGCAGGCGGCUCUGGCCUCCCACGAGCAGAAGAGACGGAAAGCGGGUUGUCCAAGCAGGAGGGGUAGUAGCAGUUCACAAGCUCAUCACCUGGCUUUGCUCCGCCACGAGAACCGUCAACCCGAGUCCGCUGAGCGGCUGUGGGGGCGCGAGCAGAGCCGGAGGUGCAACGGGGAGACGCCACCCCGUGGUGAGCCCCUGCAGCGCGGGAAGGAGGGUGGUGUGCUUCAGGGAGGAGGCGGCACUUGAGCGAAGGUGGGGGAGGCAGCCAAGCCCUGCAGGCGCCCCGGGGCGUGCAAUCCUGGGCAGGGGGGCGGACAGGGCAGAGGACCUUGAGGGUGUGGGGAAGCGGGGGAGGCUGUGCGGCCCGACGGCCUGGUCUCAUCUACUCUCCCCGCUCAGGCAGCUCCGCUGCAGUCACGGCACGCUCGGGACCCCACUGCCCUCGGGCUCCCAGGCCGCUGACGGGGCCUCCCCGGGCCCAUCCCUGGCCAGGCCUGGGCCUCGGUCCACCGCCCACGUCCCCGGGGACCCAGGUAGCUCGCCCCCCCGCUGGGCCUCGCACUGACGGUCACGCUCUGGGCCGGGGAAGGCCGCCGCGCUAGAGGGGGUUGAGCAGCCAGGGGCAGGGGGCACACAGAGGCUGGACUGUGGGUCCCGUGCUAGAGGGGGCGAGCAGCCGGGGGGGGGCACGCAGAGGCCGGACUGUGGGUGCCUUUCCAAGGUGAACCAGCAGAGGUGCUGACGGACUGGACACUGGGUGUGUAAGGGAGCGGCAUGGGGACCCGACUCGGCUCCUGCCCGAGGGAGCGGCCCGUGGGAGCCCUCCUUCCGCUCGGGGCUUGGGAAGAAACGCAGAGCUUCAUCCUGGACUUGUCUGCUUUGGGCUGCCUUGGCCUCCCGGGCGGAAGUCUCUCUGGCGGGUCGGGACUGGGGUCCCGCUUCAAGGCCAGGCCACGGGAGCUGACGUUUGGUCCGACAUUACUCUGGGUAUCUCUGGAUGCGAUUAAUAUGUAAAGCAGUAGAGACUGAGGAAGCGGACCGC
ensembl:lncRNA